ensembl:snRNA U6 U6 spliceosomal RNA
GUGUUCACUUGGGCAGUACAUAUGCUAAAAUUGGAGUGAUACAGAAAAGAUUAGCAUGGCCCUGCACAAGAAUGAAAUGCAAAUUCGUGAAGUGUUCCAUAUUUUU